CAAUAGCGUAUAUUAAAGUUGUUGCGGUUAAAAAGCUCGUAGUUGGAUUUCUGCUGUGGGCAGCCGGUCCACACUAUGUGUGAGUAUCUGGUUCGACCAUGGCAUCCUCGUGAGGAACGUUGGUGCGCUUUACUGCGUGGCGCGGGAUUCACGACUUUUACUUUGAGGAAAUUAGAGUGUUCACGGCAGGCGCUUGCCCUGAAUAUAUUAGCAUGGAAUAAUGAUAUAGGCACGUGUGUCUAUUUUGUUGGUUUCUAGACGCACGUGAAUGAUUAAUAGGGACGUGUUGGGGGCGAUUCGUUAUUAUUGACGUCAGAGGUGGAAUUCUUGGAUUGUCAUACGACGAACUACUGCGAAAGCAUUUGCCAAGGAUGUUUUCAUUGAUCAAGAACGAAAGUAAGGGAUCGAAGACGAUUAGAUACCA
rnacentral:rRNA from 1 species